UACAGAGGUCUCAAGCGUUGUUCGGAUUCAUUGGGCGUAAAGGGUGCGUAGGCGGCGCGGUAAGUCGGGUGUGAAAUCCCCAAGCUUAACUUGGGAACUGCAUCCGAUACUGGAUGGCUUGAAUCCGGGAGAGGGAUGCAGAAUUCCAGGUGUAGCGGUGAAAUGCGUAGAUAUCUGGAGGAAUACCGGUGGCGAAGGCGGCAUCCUGGACCGCAACUGACGCUGAGGCGCGAAAGCGUGGGGAGCAAACAGG
rnacentral:rRNA from 1 species